ACAAUUCUUGGUUUUGUCUCGAAAAACCAUGGGUAAUUUUUACUGCCUUUAGUUUUCCACCAUUUGCCAUCAUAUAAAAGAACACAACACCUCAUUCUCCACCCAACUGAAUCAAAACUGACACAAAAACCUGAAGAACAUCUCCAUCUUUAACCUUUUCAAGAAUGAGUGGAGCAGCAGGGAAAGCCUGGAUUGUGCCAGCUACAUUAAUUGGAGCAGUGGAGGCAUUGAAAGACCAAGGAACAUGUAGAUGGAAUUAUACCACAAGAUCACCGCAUCAACUUGCGAAGAACAACAUCAGAUCUUUUACUCAGGCCAAGUUGAUUUCUUCGCCUUUUUCUUCUUCUUAUUCAGCUGCUGUUUCAAAUAAGUUGAGAGAGGAAAAGAGGAGGAAAGCUGAGGAGAAAAUGAGAAAAGUCAUGGAUUUGAACUGUUGGGGGUCCUAAUUCUGUUAGAUUUUAAUCUUAUGAUUCAUAGAAUUUUUGGUAGGGAAAAAAUAGACAAUCUGAAUUGAUGUAAAUGAAACCUCCUGAUUUUAUUAUUAUUAUUUUUGUUUUCAUAUUUGGGUUCAAAGAUUUGGCUCUACGUGUUCAAUAGGUGAUCAAUUGAUGAAACGUGGAAUUCUCAAUCUGAAUUUGGAUUGCAAACAUUUUCUUUUUUCCUAAUUUUUCUAAUCCAUUGGUUGGAAUUUUUGUAUACAAAUUGAAAGCAACUCUCUCCACAGUGUCUUUAUGAUUGUUAACAAAUUCGUGGUUUUCUAAAAUGUGAACUUAUUGUUAGGAACAGUGACUCAAAUCCUAUAAGAGAUUUAUUUGGGAUUUAUUAGAUAUUAUUUGAUAGACAAUAAAACUUGUAGAAAAAGAAUUCUAAGAGAAAAGAGAUUCUUAAAAGGUAAGUUUGACUUCUAAAAGAAAAAUUCUAAAAGGAAAUGAAUUCUUAAUAGGCAAGUUUAUAUACUUAUAAAUAAAUAAAUCUCUACAAAGUUUGGUAUAAGAGAAAGAUGUAAGAGAGUUAUAGGGUUUUAUGGGUAAACAACCCCAUAAGACUACUAAAAAUUUCAUUUUAUGGGUGUAUAUGCUUGUUUAUGAGUAAACUAGAGGAGACUGAGAG
rnacentral:lncRNA from 1 species